rnacentral:lncRNA from 1 species
UCAAUGAAUCUGCUAUAGCUCAUAGACAGGAUUUUACCCAUUCUGACUUUGACCAAUAUGAACGGACUUCCUUUGAAGAUUCAUCAUCCACAUACACCGACCCUUGGGCUGACCUGGUUGACGAACCAUCAUAUUUUGGUAAGUUUCAAAUUAAUGUAGUUUCUAGUGUUCACUGAAUAGUAAAACGUGUUACGACUGAUUCUCAUAUAUGUGCCAGUCUACCUACCCACCUACCUAUCUACAUACCAACCUAC